AUGGCCAUAUUACGUUGAAACACCGGUUCUCGUACGAUCAUUGAACUUAAGCAACGUUGAGCCUGGUCAGUAUCUAGAUGGGUGACGACUUAGGAAUACCAGGUGCU